UCUCUGAGACAGAUGCCACGGAGACAGCUGCCAGGUCAGAUAUGUUGAAUCUUUCCUGGUAUACGGAGAAGAGUCUGGGGCUCACUAUGUGGACUCUUGAAGAGUUUCCUCACAUUGCUCCUUUGAUGUCUGUCUCAGUGAAUUUAAUCCAUCUCAUUUGAAUAUAUGAUCUAUGGCUGCUGUUGACCCUUUGUUAUAUAGAUCCUAGCUUCAGAUCAUUGGUACAACAUAGUCCAUACAGUUUAUAUAUGAUUUUGCUUCAUUGAGUAGCUCUUGUUAAUAAACCCUGUGCACUAAUAUAA